rnacentral:rRNA from 1 species
GAUGAACGCUGGCGGCGUGCCUAAUACAUGCAAGUCGAGCGAACGGACGAGAAGCUUGCUUCUCUGAUGUUAGCGGCGGACGGGUGAGUAACACGUGGAUAACCUACCUAUAAGACUGGGAUAACUUCGGGAAACCGGAGCUAAUACAGGAUAAUAUUUUGAACCGCAUGGGUCAAAAGUGAAAGACGGUCUUGCUGUCACUUAUAGAUGGAUCCGCGCUGCAUUAGCUAGUUGGUAAGGUAACGGCUUACCAAGGCAACGAUGCAUAGCCGACCUGAGAGGGUGGUCGGCCACACGAGAGCUGAGACGCCGUCCAUGCUCCUGCGGGAGGCAGCGGUAGGGUAUCUUCCGCAGUGGUCGAGAGCCUGACGGAGCGACGCCGCGUGAGUGAUGAAAGUCUUCGGAUCGUAAAGCUCUGUUAUGAGGGGUGAACAUAUGUGUACGUAACUGUGCACAGCGUGACGGUACCUAGUCAGAAAGCCACGGCUAACUACGUG